ANGCCUUCCGUAGGUGGAACCUGCGGAGGGAUCAUUAAAGAGUUCUAUAACUCCCAAACCCAUGUGAACAUACUUUACGUUGCCUCGGCAGGUCGUGCCUACCCAGUAGCCUCCUACCCUGUAGGACCUACCUGGUAGACACGGGUAAGCCUGCCGGCGGCCCACGAAACUCUGUUUAGCAUUGAAUUCUGAACCUAUAACUAAAUAAGUUAAAACUUUCAACAACGGAUCUCUUGGUUCUGGCAUCGAUGAAGAACGCAGCGAAAUGCGAUAAGUAAUGUGAAUUGCAGAAUUCAGUGAAUCAUCGAAUCUUUGAACGCACAUUGCGCCCAUUAGUAUUCUAGUGGGCAUGCCUGUUCGAGCGUCAUUUCAACCCUUAAGCCUCUGUUGCUUAGUGUUGGGAGCCUACGGCACCGUAGCUCCUCAAAGUUAGUGGCGGAGUCGGUUCACACUCUAGACGUAGUAGAUUUUAUCUCGCCUAUCAGUUGGACCGGUCCCUUGCCGUAAAACCCCUAAUUUUCAAGGUGACCUGGAUCAGGUAG
rnacentral:rRNA from 1 species